AAGCAACCCAAUAAAUAGCCAGAGAGUUGUAACCACCGCCGAACGAUGAACUCAGCGCUUCGAAAUGCUUACUUCAUUUUCUCUCACUCCUUAAACCCCACUCCAAACCCUAACGCUUUUCCCCUAAUUCUUUGCUUACAUUCCCUUCAAUCCAUUGCUGUUUCUCGUCUUCCAUUGCGGAUCAGCCGUCAACAAGAACCCUACCGUUCGCCCCGUGCUUCUUCAUUCUGUUCCUUUUCCUCGAUGGCCGGAACUGACGCCGAGGCCCCUGCCUCAUCUUCUUCGGUGGAGAAGCAGUUCGAGCAUUUCAGAGCUCAGCUUCAAGAUUCUGGAAGCUUACGCGACCGCAUUCGAAGUGUGGCUAUGGAGAUUGAGUCUUCCACAAGGCUAAUGCAGGCCAGCUUGCUUCUGGUUCAUCAGUCUCGUCUCACUCCUGAGGUUCUUGAGAAGCCAAAAGCGCAGGUUGGUUUAUUGAAGUCGCUCUACAAGCAACUUGCUGAAAUUCUUCGUGAGAGCCCUGGUCUUUACUAUAGGUAUCACGGAGACUGGAGGAGUGAGACGCAGACAGCUGUUUCACUGCUUGCUUUUAUUCAUUGGCUAGAGACGGGAGAACUUCUUUUGCAUCCUGAAGCUGAGGAAAAACUCGGGCUAAAUGAAUCUGACUUCACUUUGGAUGUUGAAGACUAUCUCAUUGGAAUAUGUUUCAUGUCCAAUGAAUUGCCACGAUAUGUUGUCAACCAAGUGACAGUUGGAGACUAUGAUUGUCCAAGAAAGGUGCUCAAGUUUUUCACCGAUCUUCAUGCAGCCUUCCGUAUGCUUAAUCUUCGCAAUGACUUUCUCCGCAAAAAAUUUGAUGGCAUGAAGUAUGACCUACGAAGAGUUGAGGAAGUAUACUACGAUGUUAAGAUCCGAGGUUUAUCGGCAUCGGGUGAUUAAACGAGGAAACAAUCCAUGCCUAUGUUACCAGGACUACCACAUAGAAGGAAAGAGGGGAGAUUGACGGUCCUUGUAUUGAUUUUGUCAUAUCUCAAAGAUGUUCUUAGGUAACAAGUUUUGUUUGGUAAAAAGAUGGAAAAUGAUACCUGGUAAAAACCUCUUACAUUUGGGGCAUUCUCCAAGAUAACAGCGAUUAUUGCUUAGAUUUUUUGCAGGUUACAUGAAUGGAUUACAAAAUAAUUCUUCAUUACUCCAGCAGGGCAUUGGUUCCUGCUCCAGAAAAGGUGGUUGUGUAUUUACCAAGCGGAAAGUCGUUGGUGGGCAAUCUUUCACCCAAUUAGUCAAAAGAAAAAAUAGCUCCAACACUUGGAUAUUUUAACUAGUUUAAUUGCAUUAUAUCUCACAACGAUGCAACCUUCAGAAGGAAGUUGAAACGAGAAUAGAGAAAUAUUGAAUAGGACUGGAACACAAGUUUACUUUCUAGUUUCUACUAAUAUAUUUAAUCUCUUUGAUAUAAA